UACGUAGGUGGCAAGCGUUGUCCGGAUUUACUGGGCGUAAAGAGCGCGCAGGCGGCUGGGCAAGUCCGAUGUGAAAGCUUCCGGCUUAACUGGAAAAUUGCAUCGGAAACUGCUCGGCUUGAAGGUGGGAGAGGGUAGCGGAAUUCCCGGUGUAGUGGUGAAAUGCGUAGAUAUCGGGAAGAACACCCGUGGCGAAGGCGGCUCUCUGGGACGGUACUGGACGCUGAGACGCGAAAGCGUGGGGAGCGAACAGG
rnacentral:rRNA from 1 species